rnacentral:rRNA from 1 species
UACGUAGGGUGCGAGCGUUGUCCGGAAUUACUGGGCGUAAAGAGCUCGUAGGCGGUCUGUCGCGUCGGCUGUGAAAACCCGGGGCUCAACCCCGGGCCUGCAUUCGAUACGGGCAGACUAGAGUUCGGUAGGGGAGUCUGGAAUUCCUGGUGUAGCGGUGAAAUGCGCAGAUAUCAGGAGGAACACCGGUGGCGAAGGCGGGACUCUGGGCCGAUACUGACGCUGAGGAGCGAAAGCGUGGGGAGCAAACAGG